GUCCACGCCAUAAACGAUGAGAACUGGAUGUCGGGAGGGUCUGCCUCUCGGUGUCGUAGCUAACGCGUUAAGUUCUCCGCCUGGGGAGUACGGCCGCAAGGUUGAAACUCAAAUGAAUUGACGGGGACCCGCACAAGCGGUGGAGCAUGUGGUUUAAUUCGAUGCAACGCGAAGAACCUUACCUGGUCUUGACAUCCUAGGAAUCCUGCAGAGAUGUGGGAGUGCCUUCGGGAACCUGGAGACAGGUGCUGCAUGGCUGUCGU
rnacentral:rRNA from 1 species